UACGAAGGGUGCAAACGUUGCUCGGAAUUAUUGGGCGUAAAGCGCACGUAGGCGGCAUUGCAAGUCCCAUGUGAAAGGCCCACGGCUUAACCGUGGAAGUGCAUGGGAAACUGCAGUGCUUGAGUACUUAAGAGGAUCGCGGGAAUUCCCGGUGUAGAGGUGAAAUUCGUAGAUAUCGGGGAAGGAACACCAGUGGCGGAAGGGCGGCGUCGAUGGGAAGAUACGUGACGCUGAGGUGCGAAAGCGUGGGGAGCAAACAGG
rnacentral:rRNA from 1 species